ACCACUGCACUCUUCCUCCUGCUCAGCCGCCUAUUUUGUACCUUUUUUACUCCAGCUCCACCGCCUAUUUUGCACAUUUUUGACUAGCACAAGUGUGCAUUUCACACCCAACCACUUCAUUUGGUUUCAGAUUUCAGCAGCAUAUAACCUCCACUUCGUUCUCAUUCCACACUUAGAAACUUUGGGAGAGCAGAGGCCUCAAUCCAGUGCUCUGCCACUUCAAGGUAAGCUUGGCUUUACUCGUUCCAUCUCCUUCCAUUAACCAACUGCAAUUACUAAAACAACAAC
rnacentral:lncRNA from 1 species